AGUGAACGCUGGCGGUAGGCCUAACACAUGCAAGUCGAACGGCAGCACAGUAAGAGCUUGCUCUUACGGGUGGCGAGUGGCGGACGGGUGAGGAAUACAUCGGAAUCUACUUUUUCGUGGGGGAUAACGUAGGGAAACUUACGCUAAUACCGCAUACGACCUACGGGUGAAAGCAGGGGAUCUUCGGACCUUGCGCGAUUGAAUGAGCCGAUGUCGGAUUAGCUAGUUGGCGGGGUAAAGGCCCACCAAGGCGACGAUCCGUAGCUGGUCUGAGAGGAUGAUCAGCGACACUGGAACUGAGACACGGUCCAGACUCCUACGGGAGGCAGCAGUGGGGAAUAUUGGACAAUGGGCGCAAGCCUGAUCCAGCGAUACCGCGUGGGUGAAGAAGGCCUUCGGGUUGUAAAGCCCUUUUGUUGGGAAAGAAAAGCAGCAGGUUAAUACCCCGCUGUUCUGACGGUACCCAAAGAAUAAGCACCGGCUAACUUCGUG
rnacentral:rRNA from 1 species